AGGACGAAGCUGGCGGCGUGCCUAAUACCUGCAAGUCGAACGCUUCUUUUUCCACCGGAGCUUGCUCCACCGGAAAAAGAGGAGUGGCGAACGGGUGAGUAACACGUGGGUAACCUGCCCAUCAGAAGGGGAUAACACUUGGAAACAGGUGCUAAUACCGUAUAACAAUCGAAACCGCAUGGUUUUGAUUUGAAAGGCGCUUUCGGGUGUCGCUGAUGGAUGGACCCGCGGUGCAUUAGCUAGUUGGUGAGGUAACGGCUCACCAAGGCGACGAUGCAUAGCCGACCUGAGAGGGUGAUCGGCCACAUUGGGACUGAGACACGGCCCAAACUCCUACGGGAGGCAGCAGUAGGGAAUCUUCGGCAAUGGACGAAAGUCUGACCGAGCAACGCCGCGUGAGUGAAGAAGGUUUUCGGAUCGUAAAACUCUGUUGUUAGAGAAGAACAAGGAUGAGAGUAACUGUUCAUCCCUUGACGGUAUCUAACCAGAAAGCCACGGCUAACUACGUGCCAGCAGCCGCGGUAAUACGUAGGUGGCAAGCGUUGUCCGGAUUUAUUGGGCGUAAAGCGAGCGCAGGCGGUUUCUUAAGUCUGAUGUGAAAGCCCCCGGCUCAACCGGGGAGGGUCAUUGGAAACUGGGAGACUUGAGUGCAGAAGAGGAGAGUGGAAUUCCAUGUGUAGCGGUGAAAUGCGUAGAUAUAUGGAGGAACACCAGUGGCGAAGGCGGCUCUCUGGUCUGUAACUGACGCUGAGGCUCGAAAGCGUGGGGAGCAAACAGGAUUAGAUACCCUGGUAGUCCACGCCGUAAACGAUGAGUGCUAAGUGUUGGAGGGUUUCCGCCCUUCAGUGCUGCAGCUAACGCAUUAAGCACUCCGCCUGGGGAGUACGACCGCAAGGUUGAAACUCAAAGG
rnacentral:rRNA from 1 species